GAUGAAGAACGUAGCGAAAUGCGAUAAGUAAUGUGAAUUGCAGAAUUCAGUGAAUCAUCGAAUCUUUGAACGCACAUUGCGCCCGCCAGCAUUCUGGCGGGCAUGCCUGUUCGAGCGUCAUUUCAACCCUCGAGCCCCCCCGGGGGCCUCGGUGUUGGGGGACGGCACACCAGCCGCCCCCGAAAUGCAGUGGCGACCUCGCCGCAGCCUCCCCUGCGUAGUAGCACACACCUCGCACCGGAGCGCGGAGACGGUCACGCCGUAAAACACCCAACUUCUGAAUGUUGACCUCGAAUCAGGUAGGAAUACCCGCUGAACUUAAGCAUAUCAAUAAGCGGAGGA
rnacentral:misc_RNA from 1 species